UGGGGAAUAUUGCGCAAUGGGGGGAACCCUGACGCAGCCAUGCCGCGUGAAUGAAGAAGGCCUUAGGGUUGUAAAGUUCUUUCGGUAUUGAGGAAGGUUGAUGUGUUAAUAGCACAUCAAAUUGACGUUAAAUACAGAAGAAGCACCGGCUAACUCCGUGCCAGCAGCCGCGGUAAUACGGAGGGUGCGAGCGUUAAUCGGAAUAACUGGGCGUAAAGGGCACGCAGGCGGUUAUUUAAGUGAGGUGUGAAAGCCCCGGGCUUAACCUGGGAAUUGCAUUUCAGACUGGGUAACUAGAGUACUUUAGGGAGGGGUAGAAUUCCACGUGUAGCGGUGAAAUGCGUAGAGAUGCGGAGGAAUACCGAAGGCGAAGCNAGCCCCUUGGGAAUGUACUGACGCUCAUGUGCGAAAGNGNGGGGGAGCAAACAGGAUUAGAUACCCUGGUAGUCCACGCUGUAAACGCUGUCGAUUUGGGGGUUGGGGUUUAACUCUGGCGCCCGUAGCUAACGUGAUAAAUCGACCGCCUGGGGAGUACAGCCGCAAGGUUA
rnacentral:rRNA from 1 species